rnacentral:rRNA from 1 species
GACGAACGCUGGCGGCGUGCCUAAUACAUGCAAGUUGAGCGCUGAAGGUUGGUACUUGUACCAACUGGAUGAGCAGCGAACGGGUGAGUAACGCGUGGGGAAUCUGCCUUUGAGCGGGGGACAACAUUUGGAAACGAAUGCUAAUACCGCAUAAAAACUUUAAACACAAGUUUUAAGUUUGAAAGAUGCAAUUGCAUCACUCAAAGAUGAUCCCGCGUUGUAUUAGCUAGUUGGUGAGGUAAAGGCUCACCAAGGCGAUGAUACGUAGCCGACCUGAGAGGGUGAUCGGCCACAUUGGGACUGAGACACGGCCCAAACUCCUACGGGAGGCAGCAGUAGGGAAUCUUCGGCAAUGGACGAAAGUCUGACCGAGCAACGCCGCGUGAGUGAAGAAGGUUUUCGGAUCGUAAAACUCUGUUGGUAGAGAAGAACGUUGGUGAGAGUGGAAAGCUCAUCAAGUGACGGUAACUACCCAGAAAGGGACGGCUAACUACGU